rnacentral:rRNA from 1 species
CCUACGGGUGGCAGCAGUGGGGAAUAUUGCACAAUGGGCGCAAGCCUGAUGCAGCCAUGCCGCGUGUGUGAAGAAGGCCUUCGGGUUGUAAAGCACUUUCAGCGGGGAGGAAGGCGGUGAGGUUAAUAACCUCAUCGAUUGACGUUACCCGCAGAAGAAGCACCGGCUAACUCCGUGCCAGCAGCCGCGGUAAUACGGAGGGUGCAAGCGUUAAUCGGAAUUACUGGGCGUAAAGCGCACGCAGGCGGUCUGUCAAGUCGGAUGUAAAAUCCCCGGGCUCAACCUGGGAACUGCAUUCGAAACUGGCAGGCUAGAGUCUUGUAGAGGGGGGUAGAAUUCCAGGUGUAGCGGUGAAAUGCGUAGAGAUCUGGAGGAAUACCGGUGGCGAAGGCGGCCCCCUGGACAAAGACUGACGCUCAGGUGCGAAAGCGUGGGGAGCAAACAGGAUUAGAUACCCGGGUAGUC